GACGAACGCUGGCGGCGUGCUUAACACAUGCAAGUCGAGCGGUAAGGCCCUUUCGGGGGUACACGAGCGGCGAACGGGUGAGUAACACGUGGGUGACCUGCCCUCAGCUCUGGGAUAAGCCUGGGAAACUGGGUCUAAUACUGGAUAUGACUCCACGGUGCAUGUCGUGGGGUGGAAAGCCUUGUGCGGCUGAGGAUGGGGCCCGCGGCCUAUCAGCUUGUUGGUGGGGUGAGGCCUACCAAGGCGACGACGGGUAGCCGGCCUGAGAGGGCGACCGGCCACACUGGGACUGAGAUACGGCCCAGACUCCUACGGGAGGCAGCAGUGGGGAAUCUUGCGCAAUGGGCGAAAGCCUGACGCAGCGACGCCGCGUG
rnacentral:rRNA from 1 species